rnacentral:rRNA from 1 species
UGCAAGCCGAGCGGUAUUUGUUCUUCGGAACAGAGAGAGCGGCGUACGGGUGCGGAACACGUGUGCAACCUGCCUUUAUCAGGGAGAUAGCCUUUCGAAAGGAAGAUUAAUAUCCCAUAAUAUUUAGACUGGCAUCAGUAUAAAUUGAAAGCUCCGGCGGAUAGAGAUGGGCACGCGCAAGAUUAGAUAGUUGGCGGGGUAACGGCCCACCAAGUCAAUGAUCUUUAGGGGGCCUGAGAGGGUGAUCCCCCACACUGGUACUGAGACACGGACCAGACUCCUACGGGAGGCAGCAGUGAGGAAUAUUGGACAAUGGGUGAGAGCCUGAUCCAGCCAUCCCGCGUGAAGGACGACGGCCCUAUGGGUUGUAAACUUCUUUUGUAUAGGGAUAAACCUACCCUCGUGAGGGUAGCUGAAGGUACUAUACGAAUAAGCACCGGCUAACUCCGUGCCAGCAGCCGCGGUAAUACGGAGGGUGCAAGCGUUAUCCGGAUUUAUUGGGUUUAAAGGGUCCGUAGGCGGACUCGUAAGUCAGUGGUGAAAUCUCAUAGCUUAACUAUGAAACUGCCAUUGAUACUGCGGGUCUUGAGUAAGGUAGAGGUAGCUGGAAUAAGUAGUGUAGCGGUGAAAUGCAUAGAUAUUACUUAGAACACCAAUUGCGAAGGCAGGUUACCAUGUCUUAACUGACGCUGAUGGACGAAAGCGUGGGGAGCGAACAGGAUUAGAUACCCUGGUAGUCCACGCCGUAAACGAUGCUAACUCGUUUUUGGGUUUUCGGAUUCAGAGACUAAGCGAAAGUGAUAAGUUAGCCACCUGGGGAGUACGUUCGCAAGAAUGAAACUCAAAGGAAUUGACGGGGGCCCGCACAAGCGGUGGAUUAUGUGGUUUAAUUCGAUGAUACGCGAGGAACCUUACCAAGGCUUAAAUGGGAAUUGACAGGUUUAGAAAUAGACUUUUCUUCGGACAAUUUUCAAGGUGCUGCAUGGUUGUCGUC